AAUAAUUAGGUAUGCCUAUUUCCAUGUUCUGCAGCAAGUUCCUUUACUAAAAUAAAAGCACCAACACGACCCAAUACUUGAUUGAGCACGCCAGUUUCUACGUUUUUCCAUGAUAACAUAACGAAAAUAAAGCAAAAUAAAAAUAUUGCCAAUUCUCAUUAAAGGGAUCCACCAUCUCUUCUUGUUUUUCCCUCAUGAACAUUCCAGCAUAGGAAAAAAAAAGAAAAAUUAGGAGACAACAAAAGAAAAAAGAAACAAAUUUUCCUGGCGGGGUCUCUCUUUUCUCACGCUCUUUCUUGGCCCCUUUUUAUCUCAAUCAGAUAGAUUCUGGACCCCUGCCGAUCUCUCUUUUACACAUGGAAGGAGGGGGCUAAAGAUACAGAUUUCCCAGGAAUUUUUCCCAGCGCA
rnacentral:lncRNA from 1 species